rnacentral:rRNA from 1 species
AACCUCCGCAAUGUGAGAAAUCGCGACGGGGGGAUCCCAAGUGCCAUUCUUAACGGGAUGGCUUUUCAUUAGUGUAAAGAGCUUUUGGAAUAAGAGCUGGGCAAGACCGGUGCCAGCCGCCGCGGUAACACCGGCAGCUCUAGUGGUAACAAUUUUUAUUGGGCCUAAAGCGUCCGUAGCCGGUUUAAUAAGUCUCUGGUGAAAUCCUGCAGCUUAACUGUGGGAAUUGCUGGAGAUACUAUUAGACUUGAGACCGGGAGAGGUUAGAGGUACUCCCAGGGUAGAGGUGAAAUUCUGUAAUCCUGGGAGGACCGCCUGUUGCGAAGGCGUCUAACUGGAACGGUUCUGACGGUGGGGGACGAAAGUUAGGGGCGCGAACCGGAUUAGAUACCCGGGUAGUCCUAACUGUAAACGAUGCGGACUUGGUGUUGGGGUGGCUUUGAGCUGCUUCAGUGCCGAAGGGAAGCUGUUAAGUCCGCCGCCUGGGAGUACGGUCGCAAGACUGAAACUUAAAGGAAAU